rnacentral:rRNA from 1 species
UAACGCGAAGAACCUUACCUGGCCUUGACAUGUCGAGAACUUUCCAGAGAUGGAUUGGUGCCUUCGGGAGCUUACAUACAGGUGCUGCAUGGCUGUCGUCAGCCCGUGUCGUGAGAUGUUGGGUUAAGUCCCGCAACGAGCGCAACCCUCGUUCUAUGUUGCCAGCACGUAAUGGUGGGAACUCAUGGGAUACUGCCGGGGUCAACUCGGAGGAAGGUGGGGAUGACGUCAAAUCAUCAUGCCCCUUAUGUCUUGGGCUUCACGCAUGCUACAAUGGCCGGUACAAAGGGCUGCAAUACCGCGAGGUGGAGCGAAUCCCAAAAAGCCGGUCCCAGUUCGGAUUGAGGUCUGCAACUCGACCUCAUGAAGUCGGAGUCGCUAGUAAUCGCAGAUCAGCAACGCUGCGGUGAAUACGUUCCCGGGCCUUGUACACAC